rnacentral:rRNA from 2 species
UGGGGAAUAUUGCACAAUGGGCGAAAGCCUGAUGCAGCGACGCCGCGUGAGGGAUGGAGGCCUUCGGGUUGUAAACCUCUUUCAGUAAGGGUGAAGGCUCUCUUUUGUGGAGGGUUGACAGUACUUGCAGAAGAAGCGCCGGCUAACUACGUGCCAGCAGCCGCGGUAAUACGUAGGGCGCGAGCGUUGUCCGGAAUUAUUGGGCGUAAAGGGCUUGUAGGUGGCGUGUCGCGUCUGCUGUGAAAUUCCAGGGCUUAACUUUGGGAUUGCAGUGGGUACGGGCAUGCUAGAGUGCAGUAGGGGAGAUUGGAAUUCCUGGUGUAGCGGUGAAAUGCGCAGAUAUCAGGAGGAACACCGGUGGCGAAGGCGGGUCUCUGGGCUGUUACUGACGCUGAGGAGCGAAAGCGUGGGGAGCGAACAGG